rfam:Oryza nivara chromosome 12, whole genome shotgun sequence.
AAAAAGACAAACCUUAGGUUUUCGUGUCCAACAUUUGACUGUCCGUCUUAUAUAAAAUUUUUUUAUGCGUGACUUAUCUUUUUAAUUUUUUAUGCGUGACUUAUCUUUUUAAUUUUUUUCAUGAUUUUUUUCAAAUAAGACGGACGGUUAAACGUUGGAGUAGAUCAUUUAGGAAUAACCUAAAA